rnacentral:rRNA from 1 species
CGGACGGGUGAGUAACGCGUGGGUAACCUGCCCCAUACAGGGGGAUAACAGUUAGAAAUGACUGCUAAUACCGCAUAAGCGCACUGCAUCGCAUGAUGAAGUGUGAAAAACUGAGGUGGUAUGGGAUGGGCCCGCGUCUGAUUAGCCAGUUGGCGGGGUAACGGCCCACCAAAGCGACGAUCAGUAGCCGACCUGAGAGGGUGACCGGCCACAUUGGGACUGAGACACGGCCCAAACUCCUACGGGAGGCAGCAG